AGGAUUCACUCCUACAAGUAGGAUUCUCCAGAAAUUGAAUCUAUGGUCUUCUUCUUCUUCAAUCACCUCAGUGUCUUCCUGGACUCUCAGCUUACCUGACAUCUUGAAGACUCCUCACCACCUCAAGGUGUUCAUCAAAGAAGGUGGCAGAAGCAUUACUACAAGGCUGAACAUCUGCUCAGCAUGCCAUCUCAUCAUGGAAGUGGUUACACUGGUUGCUGGUUGAUGAAGAAUAAUUCAGUAUAAGCUGCUCAAGGAUCUGUUAAGACUAAUGUUACAUAUACAGCUGCAUUCAUAUGCACAUGACAAAUAUUCUCAGGCAAUCUGUAAUCAUUUUAUGGGGCACACACAGAAAGGAGGAAAAAAAAUACCCCAGUGGAUUGCACCCAGUCCCGGUUUUUAUAAUCUGGUAUCUACAAACAGGAACAUUUCUUUUCAUUGGAAAAUUUAGGAACAGGCUGGCUCUCUCUCUCUCCUAAAUUAAAAUGAACAAACAGACCUUUGUGUUCAUGUGGUGUGGAAGCUAACGAUCACACCUUCCUAUCCCAUGCACAGUACUGAAUGUGUCAAAGGGACAUUAAGCCUGCUGCCCCCUCCCAGUGCCCUCUGUUAUAAAAACAAAAAGAGAGAUAGAUUGAGAGAGAGACUCCACAAAAAUACUUGAUCUCUAGGAAGAAUGGUCACUGAAGGGGGCAGUUCUAGGAAAAGAGGAGCCGAAUGCAAAGCUGGAAAAAGUUACCAUAUUUUUCUAAGAUGCCACCGUUUAUAAGACACCCCCCCCCACUUUUCUA